AUCCUCCUCUUACACGAGUAAGGUUUACGUUGCAUUUAAUCAAAUUUCUUUAUACAAAUAACAGUCGUCGUUCUGAUGUCAUUGCCACAGGUCAACCGUUGAAGUUUCGUUGCGAGGAUAAAAUGCUGUCUAAAGGAAGACGUGUCGGAUUUAUAUUUGGAAUUGGUUGUUCAGCGGUCUUUCUGCUGAUCUAUUCAUCGCUGCAUCAGGUCGCAGUUAGGACGGAUACAACCACUGAACAUCCCCCGGUGACUAUCCUGGACAAAACG
rnacentral:lncRNA from 1 species